GGGGCGUCCGCUACCGCCGCGCGUAGGGCAGGCGCGAGCUGGCCUCUGAGCCCCGGCCUCGGACCGCCCACUCCACGCCCCGCACGCCCGGUGCCGCCUUCCGGCUCCAGUCCCCGGGCUCGGCCUCGGCGAGGUGUAAUUUGCAGCGCGGGCCGGCCCCGGAGGCUCUCGGCGAGCGCGGCGCGGUAACAAGUGGGCGAGGAUGCCGUACGAGAUCAAGAAGGUGUUCGCCAGCCUCCCGCAGGUGGAGAGGGGCGUCUCCAAGAUCAUCGGCGGCGACCCUAAGGGCAACAAUUUUCUGUACACCAAUGGAAAGUGCGUCAUCCUAAGGAACAUCGACGUGAGUACCCCCUACCCCGGGCGCGGUUCUGCUCCGGAGCCACCUUGGGAUGGGAUAAUUCGCCUUCCUCUCCACCUCUCACCUCCUGCCCAUUGGCCCGGGGAGGGUGAGGGCGCCACGCCCCCUCUAUGGGGAGCCACACCUCGGAGCCCCGGAAGCCGGCCUCAGAUUCACCCAGGUCCUUGUCUGCUCUUUCUUGAUGAGGAAACUGAGUCUUAG
rnacentral:sRNA from 1 species